rnacentral:rRNA from 1 species
AACGCGAAGAACCUUACCUGGUCUUGACAUAUUUAGGACAUCAGUAGAAAUAUUGAGUUCCCGCAAGGGACCUUUUUACAGGUGCUGCAUGGCUGUCGUCAGCUCGUGCCGUGAGGUGUUGGGUUAAGUCCCGCAACGAGCGCAACCCUUGUCGUUAGUUGCCAACGCGUAAUGGCGGGCACUCUAGCGAGACUGCCUCGGUUAACGAGGAGGAAGGUGAGGAUGACGUCAAGUCCGCAUGGCCCUUAUGACCAGGGCUACACACGUGCUACAAUGGUCGGUACAGAAGGAAGCCAAAUCGUGAGAUGGAGCAAAUCCCAAAAAGCCGGCCCCAGUUCAGAUUGUAGUCUGCAACUCGACUACAUGAAGAUGGAAUUGCUAGUAAUGGCGAGUCAGCAACACCGCCGUGAAUACGUUCCCGGGCCUUGUA